rnacentral:sRNA from 1 species
UGUGUGUAACGAGCUCAUGCCCCUGCAGACCCACACAGAAACACUUCAACACUUGGUUCAGGGAGGCAAGCAGAGACAUGCAGUGUGGGUGGGAAGAGGUCUGAGUAGGUGGGAGGAGUGUCUUCCUUUCUCAUUCAUAUGACGAAAUACCCUGACAGAGACAACUUAAGGGAGAAAGGGGCUUGUUCUGGCUUGUAGUCCCAGAGGACUAUAGUCCAUCAUAGCAUGAUAAGCAUGGCAGUAGGCUGGCUAGUCAGACUGCAGCCAUACUCAGGAAGCAGAGAUAGAUGAAUGACAGAUGACAGGUGCUCAGCUCAUUUUCUCCUUUUCACAAAUAUAAUCUGGGAUCCCAGGCUAGGGAAUGGUGGUGCCCACUGUGGGCAGGUCUUUCCAUCUCAACCUAAUCAAGGUAACCUUAAUAGGCAUGGCUGGAAGCCUGACCUCCAGGUGGCCUUGUGUUGUCAAGUUGACCAUUUAGAUUGACAAGACACUGAUGUAUUUGAUCAGACCUGACACUAUGUCAGGCAGAGAGCAUGAAGGCCAGUGCUGUUACUUAUUGGGUUUGUAGCAUUGGGCAAGUUACUCAACAUCUCUAGACCUGUUUGUUCUUCUGUAAAAUGGGGAGUAUUUAUGGGACAUGAGUAACAUUUUUGUUACAAGUAUCGAGUUAAGUAUUCAUGUGUCCACAGUAACCCUUGUAAAAGUAACUUUUAUUCAAACUGUCUUCUCUUAGCUACUCAUCGAAUUGUUCUGCUUGGAAAAACUGCCUCUGAAUUCCAAUAACUAAACUACACUGACUUUGUAACUGAAUGGAACUCAAUGGAACUUCCCAAACUCAACUGAACUCCAGUCAGAGGGAUUAAAGAUGAAGAUGCCUUUAGGGUCUGAGUCACAGACCAUGGCUGUCCUGCUCAUCAGAGAAUUCGAGGGAAGAGACUUGCUGAUAGCAAUGGGUAAGUGAGAUCCAGGAUUGUAGGCCUAGGAUGACCCGGGCUAAGGGCACGAGCUUGCUAAUUAUGCAAAAUUCAUCCAAAAUCCUGGCAGCUUUACCCGGGUCUAAAUGAUACCUCAUUUUGGUAUCACUUGAAAUGUUAGAUGAGUUAAUAUGUACACAGUUCUCAGUACAGUACUUGUUGAAUAAACAACCCAGAAACCAGAGUGGCUGUUGUGAUUGAGAGAGACUUGGGGGCCAGCUUUUCUUCUUUAGCAUCAUUCAGUAUACUAUCCUUCAACAUGUUAGUCAAACUAUAGCCCACAGAUCAAAUACAGGCCUCUGCAUGUGAGCCAAGAAUGUUUCUUUCAUUUCUAAGUGGUUGCAAGGUGAUCAAAAGAAGGCUAUUUUGUGACUUAUGCAAAUGACAGGAAAUUCAACCUUCGGUGUCCAUAAAUAACAUUCUGUUGGAACCCGGCCACACCCAUCAGCUCUGCCCUGACUAUGGCUCUUGCUGGGUCGUAAGCGCAAGAGGAAAUUGCAGUAGCAGUGAGCAGAUGGCCUGGCCAGCCAAACACCCUACUGGCCUUUACCUCAAGUAUGCAGAGUAGGCUUUAGGGAGUCCUAGGCACAGAGCAAAGAUGAGAUGUUGUUUCUCUUCACAGAUCCAGAGAGGGUUCAGCUCUCUGUCCCUCGGCAUGGGCUUUGCGUGGCUUUUGCUAAUGGGACCAUUUGUCUAAACUGUCUCCUCACCUUCCAUGGGUCAAAGCGGAGUUGUUAAUGCUUAGGAAUCAGCAUCCUGAAAGAAGAAGGCCAGCAUUUCACGUCAGCCGGAUUUUGUGUUUGAAUACAUCCACAAUGGUUGAUCUGAAGUUUACCAAUUUUCAUGCCAACUGCCUUUUUAAAAAAAAAUAAAUCCUUAUUACUUUGAACAUCGGUUCUGGUGAGGUAACCAGACCCACAGCACUUGGCCCCUGCUCCUAGCCUUGCUACUGCUCUGAUGUCUGUGCUCAAUGCACAAGGAAGUAAUGAUUAGUUGGGGGAGGGGGUAUUGAUUUAUUCUUCUGUCAGAGUCUUAGCUCAGAAUGUGUUAUUUCAAAAUAGUCACCGCACGUGAGGGAUUCGACACAGAGGGAAGCUGACACCAGAGGUAGAAACCACUAGGAACGAAGAAGACUGAGCCCUGGAGAAAGAUCUGACACAUGUAGUUUUUUUUUCGUUGUUGUUGUUGUUUUUGUUUUUAAUUUUAAUAGCCUAGUGAGUGUCACAGAGCCUACUGAUUUGUCUGUUUUAUCCAUAAUCUUCUGACUUAGCUAUUCUCUGAGCACGGCUGAAGUGAGGAACAGAGGGUAUCUAAGGUGAGUUUCUAGCCAAGGAAAAUAAUAGCUAAUGCUAAGGUGUGGGGUGACUGUCUCUGAAUCCCCUCCCUCCUCUGGGUUUGCCACGGGAUCCAUCUUUCAUCUCUGGCUUUACGUUUGGGACGAGCUGAGUCGCUCUUUCUGUGUUGAUUACACUCGGUGCCCGAGGCUAGGUCUACCGUAUUCCUCCAGUGCAUAACACGAGGCUAUCACAGAGCAAGUGUCUAACAAACGGAGCUCAGCGCACUGCACCCGGUCUAACUCACAGCUCUCUUGUCUCACAGGCAAUUUUAGGGACCCCAAGAGAGAGGUUUAUCUCCAUAAAGCAAGCCCUUCCGGGGUCCCACAAAGUCUGUAUGAAAGCCCACACAUGCCCUCUGCCUUGUGGUCCUUCAGUCUGCGUGCUAAGUUUUCCUAUUCAUCCAAGCCAGGGGAAAUCUGACCGAUAAUGGGAGAAGCACUCGCUACAAGAGGUUUAAACAAGCUGCCGAGAGCACAGAGCACAGAGCACUGCAAAAGCCCACGUUCAGCUCCGGGCAGGGCCCAGUGUGCGGGGAGUCUGAAGAGACUGGCGGCAUCUCUCUCCAAGUGACGCGUGUGAACAUUAAAGACAACAAUGACCUUCAAAACAGUUUGCAUCCCAUCUUUAACCUUCAAAUUGGCAGUCGGUGACUGACUGUGUGGAAGAAGGCUCCAGGUGACUGACUGUGUGGAAGAAGGCUCCAGGAGACAGCAUCGGACAGGAGAGAUGUGUGGCAAAGUAAGAAACUGGGAUCUUAACUGCUGAUUCAGAUUUUAUUCUCAGGAACAUCUUUCUUCUUCAAGUGAAAGUUUUUCCUUUCAAUCUGUAUGAGCCUUUUUUUUUUUUUUUUUUUCCUGGCUAAGCUGAUUCGGGGCUUCUUAGAGUAUUUUCCAGUGAUCAGUUUGCUUAAGUUUUGAGACAGAGUCUCACACUCUGGUUAAGGCUGACUUGGAGCUCACUAUUCAGGUUAGGCUAGCCUCGAACUCACAAAAGCCCUCCUGCUAGCAUACUCAGUACUUAGAUUACAGUUGUGAGGAGCUGCUGCACCUGACUCCAUUUUAAUCACUAAACAAAUGUGUGGGUUUUAUUUUAUUUUUGAGAUAGGACAUCACAUAGUCCAGGCUAGCCCGGAACCUCUCACCUCUACCUCCCAAGUGCUGGGAUUAUAAAACAAAGAUUUUACCCACUUUGCCUGACUCUGUCUUAUGUAACUCAAACUGGCCUGGAACUCCUGAUAUUCCUCCCCCCACAUUAUUUCAGGUGCUUAGGUUAAAAGGGCCAAGGCACGACCUGGCCCUACAGUCAGCUCUAAUCUCUGAGUCCUCGGUUACUAAGGGAAGCAGUCUAAAGAGCCGUAUUACCCAAGGUUAUAUUAUGCAGGGACCCAUGAUGUACUUAGUCAGACUCAAAUGUUAGUUUUUUUCAAGUAGUCACAGAUUAGGACUGAAGUAUAUAGUAAUGAAAUUAGUUUUCAGACACACUCAGACAGGUUAACAAACAGGCCACUACACUGUUCCUAAUCCGAAAAAGCCUCUUGUGCCCCAGCUGAGGUCCCCUGAGAAUCCUUCAGUUUUACUCUUUGCUGUUUUGUGGUAGAACCCAGUGAGCAGCAGCACAGAGGCUGCAAUGAAGACAGCGGGUGCAUAGCCCCAGUGAGGAGGAGG